GGCGUUGGGUGGUCCGCCUCCGUGGGGUGGUGCGGCCCGCCGGGUCCCGGAGCUCUGGCGUCCGGACCCACAGACGCCGCCCAAGCGGCCGUUCCGCAGAGGCGCCAGCAACCCUCUUGCCCCGAAGAGCUGGCCUGACGUUCCCCGCUCGCGGUACCCGGGGUGGGGGCAGGUGACGCGUGGGGUCGCCCGCUUGCCGGGGUGGAGUGUGCCGAUUCCAUGGGGGUCUCCGGUCAGCAUCUUACCCUGGGACGUUGAGCGUCUUCCCCGUACCCCUGGGGCCGUAUCACCACUUGGAUUUCGUCCCGGGGCCCCGUUAUACCACCUUUUCUGUGAAUGCUGGUUUUGGUCUUUGCCACCUUCGGUUCAGACUACUUAGUCAUUCAUUCAUAGUGGGCCAGGGAUUUUCUUGAAAGCCGUGAAUCCACUGCAUGUGGUGCUUGAUUCUCGCUUCACAGACAUUCUUUCGAGGAAUUUUCAGCUUCACCGGGCAGAUUUUGUAGAAUUUACAAAAGAAGCAGGUGCAACACCGCGUGAGGAGGUGCGCUGAGAACAUUCAGAGUGUCCUAGGAAUAUUGUUUCCGACAAGAGAGGCAUGGAGGGCGAGGGGAAAGAGGUGGGGAACCAGGCAGGGUCAGCCUCACUGUGAUUCUCUUUUAGCUCCACAGGUUCUUGCUUUUCCAAACAGAGAGGGCAGCGUGAAGCCAGGGGCCAUCAGCCAUGCUUCAGACGGUGUGGUCCCAGCAUUGACUUUCGCAUUCAAGGCUACUUCAUGGUCCAAGGUGGCUGCUUGAUCUGUAGCUCUCAUGUGUGCAUUCCAGAAGAGGAGAUGACAAAAAAGAGGGAGAGAGAGA